UUUGGGAAGAGAUGUUCUUAGGAAGAAUUGCUCUUGAAAGCCCACGGCCUUCUUUCACUCGCUAUCUUCACUGCAAGCAACUAAAUGAUAUUGGAACUUCAAAAUGGAAGAGAGAAAUUCAAAAGACUGCCAUUUAAAGUGGAUCCACUUGCCAUAAGUAUUUCUCCAUGCUGAUGGGAGUCUUAAAAUGCUGUUUCUCGCCAUUAAGAGACAAUACUUCAAACAUUGUAACUCCAGGAGAAGGAAAUCAUUUUCAGCCCACUUUUACAAAAGAAGAAACUGAGGCUCAGAUGGUUUAAGUGACUUUCCCAAGUGUACCCAGAUAACAGCAGAGUUAGAAUCAAACUACCAUCUUCUGAGUCCAUAAAUUUCUCAGGAAUAUAGUCUAUGUUUAAUUUUAUUAAAUUAAUUGUAAACAGUAUGAAUUCCUUGAGAAGAGGUCUAAAGUUUGUUUUGUACAUACCAAAGAAUUAUAAUAGUAACGAUAACAACAACAAGAACAUAGCUAACAUGUAUUGACUGCUUACAACUUACAGACACUGUUCUAAGGGUUUAUAUGUAUUUACCUAUUUGGUCUUCACAAUAACUCUAUGAAAAAGGUGCCAUUAUUAUGCUUAUUUUAUACAUGAGAAAAAUGAAGUGCUGAAAGGUGAAGUAACUUAUCUAAGGCCACGCAGUAACAGUAAAGCUGAGGUCUAGC
rnacentral:lncRNA from 1 species